rfam:Oryza punctata chromosome 3, whole genome shotgun sequence.
AAUAAGUGCAGUUUUGCAUUGUUUAUGUCCAACGUUUGACCGUCCGUUUUAUUUGGAAUUUUUUAUGAUUAUUAUUUUGUUGUUAUUAGAUGAUAAAACAGUAAUAGUACUUUAUGUGUGACUAUUUUUUUAAAUUUUUUUAUAAAUUUUUCAAAUAAGACGGAUGGUCAAAUGUUGGACAUGGAUAUCCAUGGCUGCGCUUAUU